rnacentral:rRNA from 1 species
GACGAACCGUGCGAACGUUGUUCGGAAUCACUGGGUUUAAAGGGCGCGUAGGCGGGCUGUCAAGUCGGUGGUGAAAUCUUUCGGCUCAACCGGAAAAUCGCCUUCGAUACUGGCGGCCUUGAGGGAGGUAGGGGCAUGCGGAACUUCCGGUGGAGCGGUGAAAUGCGUAGAUAUCGGAAGGAACACCGAUGGCGAAGGCGGCUCACUGGCCCGGUACUGACGCUGAGGUGCGAAAGCGUGGGGAGCAAACAGG